GAGUUUGAUCGUGGCUCAGAUUGAACGCUGGCGGCAUGCCUUACACAUGCAAGUCGAACGGCAGCACGGGAGCUUGCUCCUGGUGGCGAGUGGCGAACGGGUGAGUAAUGCAUCGGAACGUAUCCUGGAGUGGGGGAUAACGUAGCGAAAGUUACGCUAAUACCGCAUAUUCUGUGAGCAGGAAAGCGGGGGACCUUCGGGCCUCGCGCUCUUGGAGCGGCCGAUGUCGGAUUAGCUAGUUGGUGAGGUAAAGGCUCACCAAGGCGACGAUCCGUAGCAGGUCUGAGAGGAUGAUCUGCCACACUGGAACUGAGACACGGUCCAGACUCCUACGGGAGGCAGCAGUGGGAUUUUGGACAAUGGGGGCAACCCUGAUCCAGCCAUGCCGCGUGAGUG
rnacentral:rRNA from 1 species